rnacentral:rRNA from 1 species
GACGAACGCUGGCGGCGUGCCUAACACAUGCAAGUGGAGCGACGAACCGGGCUUCGGCCCGGGGCCAAGCCGCGAACGGGUGAGUAACACGUGGGUAACCUGCCCUGAUGAUUGGGACAACCCGAGGAAACUCGGGCUAAUACCGAAUGUGCCCUCCGACCAUAAGGUCUGCGGGGAAAGGAAGCUUCGGCCUCCGCAUCGGGAUGGGCCCGCGGCGCAUUAGCUUGUUGGUGAGGUAACGGCUCACCAAGGCGACGAUGCGUAGCUGGUCUGAGAGGACGAUCAGCCACACUGGGACUGAGACACGGCCCAGACUCCUACGGGAGGCAGCAGUGGGGAAUCUUGCGCAAUGCGCGAAAGCGUGACGCAGCAACGCCGCGUGGGGGAAGACGGCCU